CGAGAUUCUUACUAUGAUAGAGGAUAUGAUCGUGGGUAUGACAGAUAUGAAGACUAUGAUUACCGAUACAGAAGACGAUCACCUUCUCCUUAUUAUAGUCGAUAUAGAUCACGAUCAAGAUCUCGUUCCUACAGCCCAAGUAUGUGAACUUUACUUUUGUAGCAUAAAAAACCUCAUUUCUAAUUAAUGGCUUACUUUAGAAUAUUAGAGUAUAAGGUGGAAGGUGGCAGUUAAUAGUUGGAAAAAUAUGAGGCAAAUUAAACUAUAAUUGUUAACUUUUUUUUUUUUUUUUUUUUUUUGCUUUUUCUCUUUUAGGACGCUAUUGAUAACGGAAUGGUUGCAAUUAAGGACAUUUUUUUUCCUCUUUUUUUUUUUUUUUUUUUUAAUUCUGAGAUUUCCCCAAGCUGUGGAUUCUUC
rnacentral:lncRNA from 1 species